rnacentral:rRNA from 1 species
UACGGAGGGUGCAAGCAUUAAUCGGAUUUAUUGGGCGUAAAGGGCGCGUAGGCGGGGAUAUAAGUCAGAUGUGAAAUCCCGAGGCUCAACCUCGGAACUGCAUUUGAAACUAUAUCUCUUGAGGAUAGGAGGAGAAAACGGAAUUCCACAAGUAGCGGUGAAAUGCGUAGAUAUGUGGAAGAACAUCUGUGGCGAAGGCGGUUUUCUAUCUUAUUCCUGACGCUGAGGCGCGAAAGCAAGGGGAUCAAACAGG